rnacentral:tRNA from 1 species
GCACCCGUAGCUCAGCUGGAUAGAGCACCAGACUACGAAUCUGGGGGGGGUCAGAGGUUCGAAUCCUUUCGGGUGCG